rnacentral:rRNA from 1 species
CAGCCGCCACGGUAAUACAGAGGGUGCGAGCGUUAAUCGGAUUUACUGGGCGUAAAGCGCGCGUAGGUGGUUUGUUAAGUUGGAUGUGAAAGCCCCGGGCUCAACCUGGGAACUGCAUCCAAAACUGGCAAGCUAGAGUACGGUAGAGGGUGGUGGAAUUUCCUGUGUAGCGGUGAAAUGCGUAGAUAUAGGAAGGAACACCAGUGGCGAAGGCGACCACCUGGACUGAUACUGACACUGAGGUGCGAAAGCGUGGGGAGCAAACAGGAUUAGAGACCCCAGUAGUCCCUGUCUCUUAUAC